CCGCAAGUUCCACCCCUGCCCGCCCGGUUCGCUCGCCCUUGGUUCCCACUCCCAGGUGGCUGCAGACUGGAGUGUGUUUCAUGGACGAGCAACCUCCCUGAGGAGAACCCCGGAUACGCAGGUUCAUUCGCCAGAUGCGAGUUUUCUUAAGCCGCUGCGAUUCUCUGAUUUCAAGUCACCAGUAAAAUGAGCAUUCAUUCAUUAAGCCAAUCAUCAGGAAUGGAUCUAGGAAGAACCUACUGUUUACUAGAAAUAGGUUAGAUCUGUGGAUAUAACAAUGAAUAAGACAAGACUGGUGGAUCUAUAGAGAAACUAUUACUGCACAGGUGAUGGGGAAAUCAAGAGUACUAUGGGGCCAAGGAGACUGUCCUGCAGCAAAUGAGGAAUAAGCUGAAACAUCAGUAGGAGCCAUCCCAGAGAAAAGGGACAGGGUUCUAGAUCCAGAGAACAACAGAAGAGCAUUCAGCGCCUGCAAGGGAGCAGGGGAUCUAAUGCAAAGCCAUUGCAUAACCAGUCAACUUUCCCCACAUCACAAGAUUGCCUAGCCUGGAUGGCCCCAGAAUGUUGAAACAAAUGUCUAAUUAGUAACGACAUUCUGAAUGCUUGGGAGCUGAGCAAAAUAUGAGGAGAAGCAACCUGAUUUUUGUUUCAUAUUAUCAUCUCCUUUAUUCCAGCAACAAAAGACACUGAAAAUAGUAAAUGCCCACUUUCAACCAUGACAGCCCUUUUAGGAUAGUAACGGUGAGCAGUAUUAAUCCUAUUUGACCAGAACUAGGGCAGAAUUGAAGCCCCUGGAGUAGAGAUCUGUUCUAUUAGCCCCAGCCUUUCCGCCUGCUUCUUGGGAUGGCUAUCUUUACUUUAUCAGUUGAGCCUCCAGCAUUAGCAGAUACCUAUAAGGGAAGAGAUCCAGCCCUCACUAUGGAGGGCCAGAAAGAGAAAGCACCAGACAUUAGGAAAUGUCAAAGUAUCUCAGUACAUCCAGCUGAUUAGUGACAGAUAAGUCAAAAUUUGCAGCAACUAAAUAAAUCAAAAAGUAGAUUUUAAAAUGUGAUCUUUGAAAUAUUUGGCACAAUGCUUCAAAGCCACUGAAAAGCUAUCUCUUCACCCUAAUAGAGGACAGAAAUUCAUUAGAUAGACAGAAGAGGCUGCAUACAGUAGCCCAUGCCCAUAAUCUCAACAACUUUGGAGGCCAAGGUGGAAAGAUUACUUGAGGCCAGGAAAUCAACACCAGCCUGAGCAACAUAGCAAGACAUCUUUACAAAAAAUUUAAAAAUUAGCCAGGUUUGGUGGUGUGCAGCUGUAGUCCUAGCUACUCGGGAGGCUGAGGUGGGAGGAUUGCUUGAGGCCAGGAGUUCUAGGCUGCAGUGAACAGAGAUUUUGCCACUGCGUUCCAGCCUGGGCAACAGAGUAAGACCCUGUCUCUAAAAUAGAUGAUAGAUAGAUAGAGAGAGAGAGAGAGAUGAUAGAUAAUAGAUAGUUGAUAGAUAGAUGAUAGAUAAUAGAUAGUUGAUAGAUAGAUAAUAGAUCGUUGAUUGAUAGAUUAGAUAGAUGUAUAAUAGAACCCAAAGGCAAAAAUAAGUUAGUCCUCAGGAAGACCCAGAUCGCAGACCUGAAAAGCCAGGAGGAACUCAAUGGAAUUUUUUUCCAUAGCAGGUGCUCUCUCUACACCUGUGCUCUAUUCUCCUAUUCUGAUAACCAGCCCCUGGCUCCUAUGUCCCAGUGUCAGAGAAAUGAUGUUCCAGAGCUGCACCCACAAGGACUAAAUCACCUGCCUAACCCUAACCCUAAUCAUAGAUGAUGGGGGCUGCAGGGGACCAGUAUGGCUGCCAGGGCCCAUCCCUGUUUAUGAGCAGAGGUUUCCCAGAGAAGACACACUGGGCAGAUUACCAGACACGCAUUCAUUGCACCCCUGACAUUUUCAAUCGCCAGUCAAUGAGGCUUCCUUUCUAGUUACUGAAAGUCUUCACCUGCUGUUUAUAGUAAACUGGAGACCUAGAGGCCAAGGCCGAAGGCUUGGAUGGUAAUUUCCCACAUUCUCUGGAAAUCUUUCUACUUCAGUUGGCUUCCAGACACCCAGUACCCUUGUGUGUUCCAGUUUCAAGUUGCCAUUCUUGUUCAGGUCUUCUAGUAAUUUCCUGUUUCCCUAUCUGAAGUGUACCUCCUGACAUCAAUGUAUUCAAAGAGCAAAUGCUCCUGCCAAAUCUAUGAGUGUCAGUGAACUAGCCUGCUGCUCUGGGCUCAGAUGAGACCAGCUUGCAGAACAAGCAGGACAGAGGCGUGAAGGGAAGCAGAUGGCAAACCUCGAUCUGCCACCAUCCCUUCCACAGGCAUUCCGUAUGAGGACAUCUGUCCCCACCCCUGGAUGAAAACUUGGGUGAUCCCGAAAUUUUUCUGAUUGCUCACAGGUAAUAAAAAUCAUUUGGUCAGUUUAAAUCACAAUAUACAGCUUUAAUUUUAAUGUAAAUGCCAUUGAUCAACACUUUCAAGCUUCAUUCACAGUUAAACUUUCCCUCUGCUUCCCCAGAAAGGGUCCCAUGCAGCCAAGCUAUGGAACUCCAAAAAGGGGGAAAGGAUCCUUCUCUCUAUCCCCCUAGAAUCCCCUUCAAAUUCAGGUUGCAAAAAGAAGGGGGAAGAGUCCAGGACUAGCAAGUUCAUGCUUAACUGGUGCAUUGCUAGCAGGGGUUGCUCUCCAAGCCUGGACAAUGACUAAAAUGUGCGCUUCCUUCUUGGGUCUUUUCUUGGGUUCUUAGAGACCUGUACUUGAAACAUCCAACUCCACUUCUCUUGACCUGAGCAAUGCAAUUUUCUCUAACACUUCCCCUCGCUUUCUCAUUCCCUGCCAGUCACUUUAUAGUCUCCUGUUGCAGGGGAAGAAGGGAAAUGGUCGCUAGGCUGCUCCAGGUGAUCCUUGUAGGCAGGAUUUAAACUCCUUCAGCCCAGCUGUCUCUUAACAAACAGCUGUUAUCUGGUCCUUCAGACAUUCAUCCAUACUUUACGCCCAUGGUUGGUAAAAGUGCAGCUGGCUGUGUGCAGACUGGUCUUCAGUGUUCUCUCUCUCCACCACUGCCCCACUGCUGCCUCAAGCCAGUAUCUUCAGCCUCUCCACUUGAGAUUUGUCUCCAAAUACCAGGGGACACAAAUCAAGUUGCCUUCAUGGUCUGCCUCACUGACACUGCCUCUCUAGUGAGUUUAAGGAGAAAGGUCUCAAAGAAGCAGGAGUAACAGAAUUGCUUUCUUCAGAGAAAACAUCUUCAUAGAUUCUUUCCUGAACUCCACUUCCUCUGCCCUUUUAUGAUCCUAUUUUGGGUGAGGCACUUUUAAGAGUCACCAAGGGGCUAGGAUAUUUCCUUUUAAGAUUUGCUUCUUGCUCUGACAACUUAUUUUGGAAUGUCACACCUAUUAAUUAUCUUGGUGUGGUAGUGCACACCUGUAGUCUCAGCUAUUCAGGAGGCUGAGGCAGGAGGAUUGUUUAAGCCCAGGAGGUUGAGGCUGCAGUGAGCUAUGAUCACGCCAUUGCACUCCAGCCUGGGCAACAGAGUGAGACCCUGUCUCAAAAAAAAAAAGACAACAACAACAAAAAAGAAUUUCACAUCUAUUGUCUCUUCCUGCUUCAGUCAAAACUUUCUUUUUACAUUUUUCUAUAUUGAUGUGAAUCUGUAAAAACUGCUCUUGUUAAUUAACACCAAGGACACGGA
rnacentral:lncRNA from 10 species